UUAUAGCCCCGAUAGCAGCGGUAUCCUUUUUCUGUCCGCCGCGGCGGACAGAAAAAGAUAUAGCGAAUAGCGGGACUGAUG
rnacentral:sRNA from 1 species